ACCUGGUAGAGACGGGGAGGUCAAUUAAUCUGCAGUGUGGGCUUACUGUGCAGGUCUAUAGCCAAGUGCAAGCAUAAAGUCUCGGUGGGGAGAAACAAUUUUUAUUUCCCUUUUACAGAUGAGGAAACUGAAGCUCAGAGGAAGAUAAUCAAGUAAGAGUGAAUGACUUUCUUUGAAACCAUUUGAAAAUAAAGUGAUGGAGUUCACAUUUCAUGUACAAGAUUCCUGAGCAGCAGUGUAAAAGGAGGAAAGCAGAUUAGUCUGCCAGCAGCACCCAGGACUUGCCAGCAGGAGGAACAAUCAGAGGCUGGAAAGUGUCUGUGAAUAUCACAUGUGUUCAAUAAGAGGCAGCAAGAAUGGACAGAAAUGGACCUCAGAGAGGCCCUUGAGGGGAAAGCAGCCAGGACCUCACAGGGAAGCGUGGGCAGUAACGAAAGGAUGCCACCAAAACAAGCAGUAGAGCCUGGGCACCCAGAAAGCACCCAGUCAACAGCAAUUUGGUUCCUGCCCUUACUGAUGGCUGAAGAUCACAGGGCAAUGGAGCUAGCUGGAGGUGUCCAGUCAAAUUCUGGGUGACUGGAAAGUGUGACAGAAAGGGAGCAAGCCUGGAGGAACUCUGGGGAGUGGGGUGACCUAUCCCACGAUGGACACAUUAAAUCUGGGGCAACAGAAGACAACUUAGUAGGAACUAAGCGUGUCUCCUGGCUAAUCGUUUCCGUCAACCACAGUCCCGUUUCUGAACAUAAAGUAGAAUACUGCCCCAUGACAGGCUCAACAGCCCAUUCACCCUUGUACCCCCAGAACCUCAGCACAGAGCCUAGUCUGCAGCAGGUGCCCAGUGAGUGCCUGACAAUGAAAGGAAUUAAGAGGAACAUCCACUGAUCCCAUUAGAGGGAACUCAUGCAGAAAACAGUGCACCAGGUCCACACAUAUGUACGAAUCAGACAGCACAGCUGGGCAGCUGCAAACUCUCAGGAGAGACAGCAAUUCGAAGCAGGCCCCCUACUCCUACCCCUCACAUCACCAGCCAGAACUCAAGAGAAUGAUCAUCUUCAAGGAUGCCAGUGGUGAAAGCCAGUGCUCCGUACUCCCUGGGCACCACACUAAACCCUACAAGCUUUAACUCGUGUUGACACGGGCCGCCUGUGACAGCCUAUGAACUAAGCCCAGGGCUUGGCAAACUAUAGCCCAUGCGCCAAACAAAUCCAGCCCACCACUUGCUUCUGUACAGCCCUGGAGCUCCAAAUGGUUUUUACAUUUUUAAGUAGCAGGAAAAAAUAAAAAUCUUUUGAAACAGGUGAAAGUUAUAGGAGAUUCAAAUUUCAGUGUCUGCAAAGUAAGUUUUACUGGAGCACAACCAUAUGCUUUCAUUGGCUUCUUCUGGGGCUGCUUCUGCACCACAAGAGCACAGGAGAGAGGUCAACACCAACACCACGUAUGGCAUCUCAUCUCUGCACCACUGUGGGCACACCACAACUCACAAGGAUACCAUUAUAACUGGACAACGUUUCAAGCGCCACCUAUCUCACGAUCUGUGUGAAAGAGGUUUUCAAAGACAAAUAGGUAAAAUCUCUUCCCAGAUCAAUGCUAACAAGCAUUUGCAAAUGAGUUUGAUGAUUUAGAAUACUAUAACUUUUAACCUUAACUGAGCAAAAUGUUAUCCUCAAAAAGAGGAAUCCAGUUCUUCCCAUCAGACCUGUAUUACAAAAAUGCUAUAUUCAAUUAUUAUAUUCUAAGCUUUAUGGCCUAAAAA